rnacentral:lncRNA from 1 species
GCAAAGUUUGGGAUCCACAGGCUACAAAACCCCACAGCUCCUAAGAAUUCUCUAACCUGCCUUCUGCUCUUAAGCUCCGGUAGAUUGCAAAUAACCUGCUUUCUUUCUGUUCCCCAGCUGCGUUCGGACCCCUGUCGGAUAGGAAAUCCCAAGUAAGGUACCUGCCAUCGGCAGAUUUGAGCUUUCUUCUUGGACACCUGAUACCCACAGUCCUCCAGGCUCCGGUAGAUUGCAAAUAACCUGCUUUCUUUCUGUUCCCGGGCUGCCUUCGGAACCCUGUGGGAGAGUAAAUCCCUAGUAAGGUACCUGCCGUUGACAGAUUUGAGCUUUCUUCUUGGACACCUAAUACCCACAGUCCUCCAGGUGCUGUUAACUGUCUCCUUUCUCCUCAUGGAUUAGCUCCUCAGAAAUAGCAAACUCCUCCUUUGCUGCCAGACUCCAAGAAUUCAGCAUAUCUGUGUGCGUUAUCUGGCUUCACAAGUAGCCUCCAUGUGAGUGGACUAGGCAGCCUGUAAAGUGAAGGGGAGUUUGUCCCUAUGGGGUGAGAAUGAAACAAUAGGAAACUUCUUAUGACAGACAGUAAAGCAGAUAAAUACCUCCCCAUUUUUCCCUUCUGUUAACUACUCUUCCAUAAACUUUGGUGAAUUCCUGCAUACCACAGGUCUGUUGAGGGACUUUCUAUGCCUCUGCAGUAGAUUGAGGAGCAGUUACCAGCACAGUAAUGCAAUGCAUUCCAUUCUUUUUCAUCUUUCCUUGCUUCCCUUAACUGCUCUUGAAUUGCAUCCUCUAAAUAAAUCAAAUCCUUACCUUUAUACUUGCCUCAGGGUCUGCUGCUUAGAAAUAACUAAGGUAUUUCCUGUGUAUUAUUAGCAUUAUUCUGACAAAAAGUAGCAUAUCAGGGUUUAUUUUUUAUUUUAAUUAUACUUUAAGUUCUGGGAUACAUGUGCAGAAUGUGCAGGUUUGUUACAUAGGUAUACACGUG